CCGCCCACCGUCAGCCCGUCUCGCUCGGCUCUGACUAUUGCACGGCUUCAUUCCCUCGGCUGAGCCACAAGCCCACAACACAUCAAUUAAUUUGGCAAUUAAUCAUUUUGCAGAAAAACGGGAGCCAUCCCAAAAUCUCUCCCUCUCCCAUUCUACGCGCUCGCGGAAACAGCGACAGAUAUCCUGUUUCUUCUCUCAUCUUUCUCCAGUCUCGUAAAGCAGGCACCACUACUCCUCGUGAUGGCGGCACGGCGUGCUGGUCCGGCGAGCUCAGUUGCGACGCUGCCGCUCGCCCACCCUCUGGCAUGUCUUCGUCGGCAACCAGAUCUGCCAUGACCCACGAUGCGAAAAAUCUGGCAUCCUCCCGGCGUAUCUGCAACCAUGGAUCUCUGUGUGCGACAGCGGCUCCCAUCGCCCCAUCGGUGGAAGCCUACGGCCCGGCGACAUGCCUGGUGGCGUUCUGAUUGAAGUUCGAUUCUUUUAGCAGAUUCAUUGGUCAAUCAUGCUUUGCGAUCUCCAACUAGAGCAAAGAGGUAUAUUUCAGUUGGAAUGUCACAAGGAUUGGUCUAAUUCCUUCUGCUUUUGGUUAUAUUGCUACUAUAUAAGCGAUAAUCUUUUACCGUAGUCACGAGAAAUAUUGUAAAUCCCCAUGUGAAAUAUCUUUAAUCAUUAGCUGUCACACAACAAAUUUGCACAUGUAACUGAGAUGUAUAAGUCCAGUAUAGGAUGGAAACCAACAUAGUUGGGUUAAGCUUUGGUUACUAUUUGAUGAUCUGUAUUAGUCAUAUAUUUAGCCAAAGUUGUUUAUAACAUGUGUGGGCCUUUCUGCAGCUGAAUAAUUUCUUUUGAAUUCUGCCUCCGUUGAUGGUCCGGAGCUGGCCGUUUGUGCCAUCCCUUCACUGCUGGGAAUAGGCUUACUAGACCGUCAUACUAAAUCAGUAUUGAUCUGAUUCCUUUUGGAUUAGCAGCAGAUUCCCUCAAGAUUAUCAGCUGAUUAUCACACAAUUCUCGUAAUAUCAUUAACAUUUUGUGACUUAUUUCCCUAAAUUUCCAUAAAUUUAAUUGUAGACAAGUCUAAUAAUUUUACUAGAUCUUCAUUGUCCCUUCACCGCAGCAAAAAUUCACCAUAUAAUUUACUACUACUUUUAAAGUAAGCCGAUUUUCACCAUAUCUGGAUGUGGCACUUAUGUAUCAUGGAACUAACAUCUGAAUUGUGUCGGAAGUUAGUGAAUGUUAUAGCAAGUCCAUGCUUUAUCUGAAUUGUGUUUGUCGGAAUUCAUAGCUAGAAAAUUACGUCAAUCAAUAUUGUAUACUUGUAUUACAGUAAUUCGGACCAUAAGUGCAUAUCUACCAUAAGUUUUCAGGUGAUGAGCUCUUUCUGUCAAGUUCCACGCAAGAUGAACUCACCUAAGAGCAGCCAACGGGCAUUGUGCAUUGAUCUGAGUGCAAUAUCUGGCCAACCAGCUGCAACUGAAUGAGAGCAACUCUAAAUGAUCCUCUAAAAUUCUGAAUGUAAAUGUAUUUAGCUAACAAUGUUUCUAUUAGUGUGCGAUGUUUCUAAAUUGUUGUACAGUUCGUAUCCUGCUAAAAUGGCUUACAUGUGUAUAUUAUAGUGAUCCAUUUUCUCGAUUAAUGUAUUAUGGUAAUUGACCGUAUGUAUUUCGGUAUGUUCGCCAUUGUGGUAAUUCAUACAUGCUCCGCCAA